UACGUAGGGGGCAAGCGUUGUCCGGAUUUAUUGGGCGUAAAGAGCGUGUAGGCGGCCUGAAAGGUCAGCUGUGAAAACUCGAGGCUCAACCUCGAGACGUCGGUUGAAACCAUCUGGCUAGAGUCCGGAAGAGGAGAGUGGAAUUCCCGGUGUAGCGGUGAAAUGCGCAGAUAUCGGGAGGAACACCAAUGGCGAAGGCAGCUCGCUGGGACGUGACUGACGCGUGAGA
rnacentral:rRNA from 1 species